ensembl:snRNA U6 U6 spliceosomal RNA
AUGCUCGCUUCAACAGCACAUAUACUAAAAUUGGAACAAUACAGAGAAGAUUCGCAUGGCUCCUGUGCAAGAAUGACACACAAAUUCGUGAAGCAUUCCAUAAAAAA